rnacentral:lncRNA from 1 species
CAUGUUCCACUGAUUAUACUGAUUGUCUUUUGCUCCCUUUUCUUCUUCUUUUCAAAUCCAGAUCAGCCAGCUGAUAAAAUGGUGAAUAAUAUGUACAAGUACAACUAGCUCCAAACCUACUGAGUCUAUGACCACACCGUUGAUUACAUAAACACAACCGAUGAUCUCCUUAAUGUGUAUGUUCUCUUCUUUCAGUCAUAAGCCAUUUCAAGACCUGAGAUACUUAUCAUGAGACAUUGUAGGCCCUGAUAUACCAGUGGUAGGUUGUUUCCAUAUACCUCCCAUUCUUACCGGUCAUAACUCUUCACUGCUAUGUUCCUGCUAGUUUGUCUCUUGGAAGGAUCCCUUCGAUUUUACCCUAUGUUGUGUGUGUAUAGAAGAUGGAGGGCAGGAGACCUCUUAUAGUACUCAAGUAGCACAACUCAGGUCUGUCAAAUUAAUAAUGAUCAAUCAGGAUGUACAUAAUUCAUGGUUGCAACAUUCUUCACCCUCUUCUUUUUGCAUAUGUUUAUGUUUAUGUUUAUAAUGCAAAAUUUUAAUUCUUGGUCUUAAAUUUGGAGUUUACUUUUACCGUAUUGUAUUUUUCAAAUUACUAAGAACACCUAUAUAAAAAUUUUAUUCGUAAAUUACUUUUUGCUUAUAAAUAUGACGUUUGACCUUUUACGUGAAAAAGGCAAAAGAUCACCAACCAUAUCUCCAUGUCCUAAAACAAAACUAAUAUAGUUUUACAUCCAUUUCAGGUUAGUUUUACCUACAUUUAUAUGGGUACUAAUUAAUCUAAACAUAUACAAAAUAUAUACAUUAGUUCACCAUUAUAUUUAGAUAAAUGAAAAUCAUCUUCUAAUCCCACAUAGGAAACCAAGAGAGUUGUGAGUUUCCGACGCGACCGUUCACCUUUAUGAUUGUACAUGUGAGUGUAAAUUUCCAUGCGUCUUAUACGACUUUAUUUCAGCAAUAGCCUAACCAUCAGGUUGUAAGGAUACGUGUAGGCUACAAUAGCGCAAAGCAAAAUUUUAUACCACAUAAACCAGGAACCAUGGAAUUUUGAUCGUUGAUCAUUCCCACAUGGUGCGCUCUGUACCAAUAGACGAUGCUAAGAAGUCAAAGGAAUGUCAGCAAUCCGACACAUGUCGAUGUAGGGGAAGUAGCUGAUUGUCGAAGCUUGACCUUCUCCAACACAUGGUGCAACUGUGCCAAUCAACACCAUAAUCUAGCGGUUCCUCACUAGUAUUUACAUAUCCAGGGAAAGAACAUCGUGUGUGGAUGUGCUAGCGUCUGAGUAUGGCUAGGGUUUGGCUCAGGAGAAGGAUGCCUAGGCUUUUCUUACACUCCAAACUAUCCUCCUCACCCACGUAUAUUGAAGACCUCCACAAUAAGCUGGAUCAUCAAUAAAAGGAGGGCGAGGAGGUUGUGUCAUGGUGUAGAUUCUAGAUAUAACCGUAGAACAUCCCUUGUUAUAUAUAUUUUGUAGUCAUGAACAAAUUUAGUUGAAUAUGUGUUAGAUUGUUUUGCCACUUUGUAAUUUAGCUUCUAGAUCAGUUUGUGGAACUCCGAAUUGAUCACCUCAACCUAUUUUGAAACCCUGAUACAUGCAAAUAUUACAAAGAUACAAGUGUGCUUUUAAUACAAAUUUAACAAGCUCAGAAUUUGCCACCGGUCAUCGUCUCUUAGCUUAAAUGGGGUUUUUUUGGUCGUGCUCCUAAUGGGGUUGUCCACUUAAAAACAUAUGAAAUGUAUUCAGCCGGAUCCAGGACUUUCACUUGUCUGUUAACCAUACUUUAAAUUUACGCAGUAUAUAUCCUGGAGUACGUCCACACAUACAUACAUUCUAUCAAGUAUGAAAGUUACCACACCCAAACUAGAUAGGAUUAGCAUGUACAAUGCCAACAUGCAAAUUAAGGGCUCUACUCGGUGGCCCUUGACAUUUUGUUUGAGCCAUUUGCUUGCCGUGGGUUUAGGAGGCAUAAGGAAAUUAGUGUGUAUUCGGUGGUGAUCAGCAUUCAGCCUCAUCUUUUUUAUGGGCACUUGCCUGCAUCUAUCUUCAACCAAUUUGGCAUUUGUUCCAAUUCGAUAGCGUCAUGUGGUGUUACUGCAAAGGAAGGUACAUGGAAUCAAUGAAAUACAUAGAUGAUGAUGUCUCUUUCCAAUAACUGAAAGAAGAGUAUAGCGUAUGUGCAGCAGGAAAUGUUGAGGCCGAGUACUGCAAAGCACCAAGCCCUGAAAAGAUUCAUCUGCCAGAUUGGCAUACCGACCAAGGGACCAACCACCACUGUGUAGAAUUAGAAUACCGAUAACCAAGAGUGGUUACAUUUUGUGCAUUGCAUUUAAUUUUAGUGGGUGUUCCUAUCAUAUUUGAUUUAGUCUUGUGGUGGUCUGACCAAAUUUGGCUGUGUGGUGCAAGAGUAGAGAGUUCAUUAGCUGUUAGUGAAUCAUAGUUUGUAUGUAUGAAGUACCACGGGCCAGCACAUCGGUAGGCAGCAUAUCGAUAAUCCAUGCACACAUUUCAUUGGCACCCAGAUCCAGCACACAUAAGGUGGGUGCGGGUCCAUCAGUUCAUGGGUUAUCUGCGGUUGGCACAAGUUUUAAAAAAUAAAGUAAUUUUUAUUUUGAAAAUCUCAAAAAUAACUAGAGCCGGCCACAUAAUCACUUACGUCGUUUGUUCUCUGACUAAAUGAUUGAUAAGGAAUUUUGUGCAAAGCCCUACUUGCAGUAUAAAAAGAGUAUUUAUGGUUCUCUUAUUGUAACUGCACUACUACAAAAUCACAAAGGGAAUGUGGCGCCCUAUUUUCACAGGCACAUAAAUGAUCCUAUAUGAAAAUAAAUUUCCAUCGAAAUAUUUUGAAGUUUACUAGGCUUCUAUAGACAGUAAUCCACCCAUAGUCGCGAUGUAGGUCCUACGAUGUUUUGAAGGAAAUAUGCAAGUAUUCGGCAUAGAGAAUUUUAGCCAGAGACGACUCCCUCCUAACAUUGCCCGCUCAACAUCUCACCGUCAAUCACUUGUUAUCUAUGUUGUUCAUGUUAUUCUAUUGAAUUUCACCGCUAAAAAUUGUUUUGUUUUUUGGCACUCCAAGUAAUUUCAAAUGAAAAUAUCAUCAACUACUAAGUUGCAGAUCUUGUCGACCUCUAUAACUUUGACAUAAAGAUCCGAGAUUCCUUGAUGAACAUUUGGACUUUAAAUGCUAAAAUUGAGAUCUUCCACCUACGAGGCAAGAGAAAUGUCAGCCGGUUGGUGCUUGAAAAUAGUUUGGUGCACAGUAGGAAAUCACAAUUAUUAAUUUCCGAUAGAUAAGUUGGUUGGUUCUUGAAAGUAUUUUAGUACAUGCAUUCAAAUUGGUCUGUUUCAUUGCCUAAAUUACAGAUCCAUAUAGGCACUCAGCGACGAAGUUUGAUCAUUUAUGAGAACUGGUGAGCCCUUGAUGACACAAUUUACCAUACAUAUCAAAAGGUCAGGGUAAAUUUUACACAGUUUUUGAACCAAGUGAGACCAAAACUGAAACAAAAUCAAUAUUUCUGGGACCAAAGUAGACUAUUCGAUGAGAUAGUAUUACUCCAUAUAUAAUUUAAUUAAUGAAAUACAUGUACAAAUCCAUAACCAUGUUUUUGUAUUGUGGGAGUUUACAUAAUACUUGUUCAUGCGACCAGAAGCAUAUUCCAUGCGCGUUCAAUGUCAUGGCUCAAGGAUGCCAAGAGGAAAUGAUGAGCAGACUGAAACUAGCUGCUAUCUAGGUAGCAGUUGUUCUCUUGUUAAUUUAGCUAGAUCAUGCAGAUGCAUCAGUUUAUUUUAGACAAUCCACCUUGGACACUCCAACUAUAAUGUGAUCUAUCAUUUAUUUUUCUGUGGCAAACUGGGUAACUCUGUGAAAUUGAAUUUACUCUACCACUCCUCUUAGUGCAGCCGCCCAUUAUCAAAAAAGAAAACUUAUUUUCAGUUUCUUCUGUUGGUAUAUACUAGUAGUUGCUUGCGAUAUUCUUCAUCUUGCUUGUUCUCCCUGAUUUACUUGUAUUUCCUUAUUGUAGUCUUGAUCAUUAUUCGUGAUCUCUAUAGCUUUAUUUCCAACUGUGAUUCUACAUUUCCUUAUGCAACCCAUUCUUAAGAAAGAAUUCAUGACUUCAGCUGCCUUAUUCUACUUCCAUCUUAUAUCUUAGGUGGAUUGAAUAACAAUGACCUUUUGUUGUUUGUGGGUGUGUGAGGAGAGGGGGUUGGUUUUAAAAUAGGGACUUCAACAUUCCAGAUUUUUUUAGGGAAAUAACUUGCAGUGUAAUUAUAGUGUCGUGGUACUAGUACUACAUACGUAGUAUUGCCUUAUUCAAAAAUUUAUGCAACGAUAUAAGUUGUUGUCAAAAUAAAUUUAGUAAUACAUCUCAUCACAACAAAAUAAACAAAAUAAUUAUGUAAUUUCUUUGAAUAAAUUUAUGGCCAAAUGUGUGUCAAAAAAUCCACGACGUCAUCUAUUAAAUACAGGGGAAGAACUAAAAUAAAGGCAUUUAUUUUGCUUCAUCUAAUAUCAAUCCAACCUCAAACUAAUCACCUGUUAGUGUUGGCAAGUAAGGUCGUGUCAUAAUCAUUGAGGGCGUGUUUUUUUCAAUUGGGCCAUUUCAAUGCUUUCCAAAAUGUUUGAUAAAAAUUCGCGAGAUAACUAAUAUUUCAAAUUACCAUUUUAUGUUUUUUAGUGGAAUUACCAUUUUAUGUUGGCGACAUUCAGAUUAUAUAACUAGAAAACAAACACAAUGUGUAUCAUAACCCUCAAAUCAACCUGAUCAUGACACUGUUCUAAAAGGCGAAUGACCGAUUUACAUAGUUUUGACCAUAAAAUCAAGAUUCCAUUAAAAAGGAAUAAAACUGAGAUAUAGAGUUUUUCCAUAAUAAAAUAAGAGUAUUUCUACUGGUGAAAAUGAUGUCUUAAGCUGAAAUCAUAUUUUUCUGCAAAUUAUUUGAGAUUACUUUAGCCAUGUCCAUGCAUCUGGAAUCGUAUUCUACAUGAGCUCAUUGCGACAGGGGGGGGGAGAAAGCAAGAAGCAGCAUGUUCCACUGAUUAUACCGAUUCUCUUUUACCCCUUCUCUUCUUCUUUUCAAAUCCAGAUCAACCAGCUAAUAAAAUGGUGAAUAAUAUGUACAAGUACAACUAGCUCCAAACCUACCGAGUCUAUGACCACACCGUUGAUUACAUAAACACAACUGAUGAUCUCCUUAAUGCAUGUGUUGUCUUCUUUCAGUCAGAAGCCAUUUCAAAACCGAAGGUACUUAUCAUAAGAUGUUGUAGGCCUUGAUAUUCUAGUGGUAGGUUGUUUCCAUAUACCUCCCAUUCUUACCGGUCAU